GAUGAACGCUGGCGGCGUGCUUAACACAUGCAAGUCGAACGAAGCACUUUAUUUGAUUUCCUUCGGGACUGAUUAUUUUGUGACUGAGUGGCGGACGGGUGAGUAACGCGUGGGUAACCUGCCUUGUACAGGGGGAUAACAGUUGGAAACGGCUGCUAAUACCGCAUAAGCGCACGGCAUCGCAUGAUGCAGUGUGAAAAACUCCGGUGGUAUAAGAUGGACCCGUGUUGGAUUAGCUAGUUGGUGAGGUAACGGCCCACCAAGGCGACGAUCCAUAGCCGACCUGAGAGGGUGACCGGCCACAUUGGGACUGAGACACGGCCCAAACUCCUACGGGAGGCAGCAGUGGGGAAUAUUGCACAAUGGGCGAAAGCCUGAUGCAGCGACGCCGCGUGAGCGAAGAAGUAUUUCGGUAUGUAAAGCUCUAUCAGCAGGGAAGAUAAUGACGGU
rnacentral:rRNA from 1 species